UAAGAGAGAGGAUUUUCAAGUGUUUCAUACAUUCAUCAUUCAAAAACUAAAGAGAAAAGACCUAAUAAGAGACUAUAUUGCCUAGCUUAUUACAUAGUACAAUGGACCAAAAUACCUUUAAUGAAAGGGGAGGUCGUGGGUUGUUUCUUUAACAUGUGCAAUCCCCAGAAUACCUUUAAUGAAGGGUGCUUAUUCAAUGCUCAAAAACCAUGGGGUCACGCUUCAAAACUUAUAGUCUCGAAUUGGCAUCAAAUGUAAGCCCCCCCACAAUCUUCCAUACCGGGUUUGUUUAAUGACAAGCUCAAAACGGGUCCUCCAUGCAUGUUCUCCUAACUUCAAGGUGACCAAGCCUUGAGCCUCUAUUUGUUGGCCUUUAAAGAUGUCAUCAAAAGAUAAGAUGGCCAUUUGUCCCAUAUUAAAACUGAAAUAACCUGAGUAAAUAAAAUUGAAAUCAACACUGGAUAUUAAGCUAAGACUAUCUAGCGAAAAUACUAUGCUAAAAUAUAACUAACUGUUUGAAAUACCCAACAUGGUGAAAGCAUAACUAUCUAUCUUAAAGCCUCUAAAUAAUAUUAGUUGUUGGGAUAAGCCCCCAACUAACUCCAACUAUCUGAAACUAAAAAGAGUACUAAAAAAAUAAUUACAACUGGUCCUCAAAUGAUGAGGACUCACCAAAUAUCGCUGCUGAUGCAAUAUAGAAUCGUACUAAGCGCAAUCCAAGUGCUGAGCAUCAGAACCUAUAUUAUAUGACAAUAUAACAUAGAGGAAGUAUAUAAUCAGUACUUUGAAUGUGUUGAGUAUGUGAGAUGAAAAAUAUCUAAUAUAGGCUAAACAUGAUGCAUGUAACAUGGUGAACUGAUGUAAGACCAAGUAAAUAAUAUGUACUAUAUGAUAAGCUGAACAACUGAUUACAAGGUCAUUCAAAAUCUAAAAAUAAACCCUGAACUAUGGACUAUGGGAGUUAACAUUAUCCUACAUACCCAAAUCUACCCAAAUCUGAGCUAACAGGGGUCCAAACUAUAAAUCUAGUUGGAUAGGUGUUCAGUACCUUGUCAAGGGUACGAGCAUUGACUGACAUGGAUCCACUAAACUAAUGUUUAAAAAAAUUAAGGUGGUAAUCCUUCUCUGAUGAGUGACCCUAUAUAACCUUUGGUGUCACCGUAGUUCUGAAACUUAGGGACUUCUACUUAAGGUCUCAACCUAACUGAUUGGUGAACCUUUAUCCCUACUUUUGUUCGAUGCUAAGUACUACUCUCAACUGAAUGAGACUGAUAACUAAAAUGCUCAAUAUAAUAAUAUUUUGAAAUUAACAAUAAAUGCACAAUCUGAAGUAGUCAAAAAUAAAUAGAUCAGAGAAUAUGACAUUCACAAGUAUAUGCAUGAGCUCCUAGGUAUUAGGUGUUUAUAACCCACCAACUUUGAAGGAUGCAACUAAAUAUUGCAAUAGUAAAAACUGAAUAUAAUGAGGAAUUUCAUAAUUCAAGUCCCAAAAUCAAUAAUUUAUCAAUGUAAAGAUGUUUUGUCAUUCCAAGUAUGGGAAGAUGCUAAAAUCUAUGGGAAGACAUAUAUUGAUGGUUUAGUUACAGGAAUAUACUAAAAAAUUAAGAAAUUUAUGCUUUCCAUCGAAUCCCAAGUUUGAAUGGUGAAUUUAACUUGAGAAAUUGAGUAAUCUUUGAGACUCAAUAGGUGGAAGGAAAUCCAUUGAGGAAAUCUCACAUACCUAGAGAUGGAAUCGUUGAAGAACUCUUUGGAAUUGGAGUUUGAAAUUGAAGAACCCUAAUUUGCCUUUGGAGUAGAAAAUCACCCCUUUUCUCUUUUUGAAGCUAACUGUAGAUCGAAUUUUGAGUUAAUGAGGAAUUUAUGGCAUUUUCACUUAUAUUACAGCCUUUGAUAGGUGUAAAUGGUGUAGUUUGUUGUUAAAAUAUUGUGAAAUUACCACAAAACUCCUCUAAAAUCAUUCAAAAAAUCUCUGGAAAUAGUCGCGAUGACUUAGACUACGAUUCGUAGGGCUUGGACAUGGGUCAUGUCCUAGAGUCAUGACCAGAGGACAAAAAUUUUGGUUCCUCACUUUUAUGACUGAGUACUCCUGACGACUCAUGUACUAUGACCACGAGUCGUCAUGAAGGGUCGUAGUCAAAGGAUUGAAAAUUCUGAUGUACCACUGUUGUGAUGACGAGUCCUCCUGAUGACUCGUUGUGUCCUAUCGAUGAGUCAUCGUCACUAUCAAUUUUGACAGUUACUUAGUAAAUUAACCACAACCUUUUUAAUUCGAUACCGGCUUUUAGCGAGACUGGUGGCGUUGGCAAGACAAUUCAAUCGUCUAUAUUUUGGUGGGUUUAGAGCUUAAAAACUUGGAGUAUUACAUCAAUUAUGAAGCCUUUAUAAUCUCCAAAAAUUAAAAGUUUACACAAAUCACACAAAAAUACAUUGAAAAUUGUGUCAAUCAUCAUCACACUCUGAAAAUACCACAAAGCAACCACGACGAGGGGUAAAAUUGUCAAAUCACUCAUAAAUGAAUAAUUCACAAAAAUAACCAAAAAUCAAGUCAUUACAUAGACCAUACAAAGGUAUUGAGCUAUAACUAUCCCUUCAUUUAAAGUUUGGUGGAUUAAUGAUCCACCGAUUUAUUAACUAAAACAAUUUUGAUCCGCUUUAUUCAACCUAAUUGAAAAUGGAAAUAAUUGACUAUUUCAAUAUUAGUUUACCGCUUUUAAAAGUACUUUUAUUUGUCACCUAGAUAUACUAUAUUUAAAAAAUAUUUACCAUCUAUAGCAAUUAUAUUAUAUAUUAAAAGUGAAUUAUGCAUGUAAUAUAGAUGUAUUAGAAGUUUAUUAAAAUUUAUUUUACUUGUUUUGGUGAAAAAAAUACGCUAUGUAUUAAAAACGGAUUAUGCAUGCAAUAUAAAUAUAUUGUACUAUAUACCGAAAGUGAAUUUGCACGCAAUAUAGAUGUAUUAUAAGUGUCUUAAAUAUACUAUGCUUGUUAAGGCAAAAAAUCUAUACUAUUUAUUAAAAAAGAAUUAUGCAUAUAUUAAAAUUAUAACGCUAUAAAUAGUAAAUAAUUUUUUAAAUAUGAUAUAUAUUGGUAAGUUUCCCAUUAAAAGUUGAUUUGAUAUGUAGCACGUAUUGACUUAUGAGAAACACGAUCACAUUUUUUUUUUUUUUUGUAUGUGAUGUGCUAUAUAUAGUCAGAAUAACAAUUUCUUUUUUUAAACAUAAAAUCGUAAAAUUAUACGAAAGAAAUGAAAAAAAAAACCUUGGCAAAAAUUAGGCGGAUUAGACUAUGAUUUCUAUUUAAUCAACUCAAUCUAUUCAACCUACAUAAUCAUUGGCGGGUUAGUGACCAUUUAUGUAUUAACUCGGCUCAUUUUCCCUGCCCAAUUUGCCUAUUUGAUACUCUAAAAUCAUAAGUACAUUACAUUUUUUUACAAUUUGAUACUCUUAAUCAUAAGUCUAUUACAAUUUUUUUUACAAGGUUUUGGGUUCAUUCGUUAUAUGGUCAAUUAUCGAUGUUCUUAGUUACAUGGUCAAUCUCAAAGGAGAUCAAUACAUAAUCGCAGAGAAUCUCAUGCAACGGUUUGUAAUUAUGAGUCUUAUUUUAUAUAUAUAAAAAUAUUUUCCAUACAAAUCGAGGAGAUAUCUUAAUAGGGUUAAUUUGUUGUCAACCUUUUUGAUAUAAAAAUCUCGGAUUUAUCUCUUAAAAGAAUAAUAAAUUUGAACGAGAUUGCCUAUAUUUUAUAUAUAUGUCAAUCUAGUUUACAUAUAUUUCAGGAGAAUGGGUUGCUGAAUGGCAACUUAAAGAUGCAACAAAGGAGGAUUACCAAGAGUAUGCCAAGGCUCAAUUGGAAGUGUUCGGACGUGCAACAUUUGGUUGGGCUUAUUGGACACUAAAAAAUGUGAUCAAUCAUUGGAGUAUGGAGUGGAUGAUCAAGAAUGGCUAUAUCACGCUUUAAUUUUUGAAAAAUUACAUGAUAAGAAAAACAACAGUGCCUUAAGUUUUAAAAAACUAGAAAACAACAAAUCUGAAGAUACAUAUCUUAACAGAUGAAGGUACACGUUCUUUUUUCUUAUAUAAAACGCGUAUAUGAAGAUACAUAUAUACAAAAUCUCUACUAGAUGUAUUGAGAUGCACAACAAAUAUUAUAAUUUUUUGAAACCUAUGUUGUACCCUGUAGUCUAAAUUUCCUUCAUUUCUGUGGUUUACCCUUAAUUUAUUUUGAUUCUUAUUGUCUACUAAAAUCAUAUUGGGUCAACCCAAAUUUAGCAAUUUCAAAGCCAUUAUGUUUAAUUUGGAUAAUCAAUAUGUUAGAGCAUACAAUUUAAACAUACAACGAAAGCAUGAUAACAGAUCACAAGCUUACAUAAUAAUAAGAUAAUAUAAACUAAACCAAUUAUGAAAAUACUUACCUCUUGAAGCUUUCACAAAAUUUGCCCGACGC
rnacentral:lncRNA from 1 species